rnacentral:rRNA from 1 species
UACGGGGGGGGCAAGCGUUGUUCGGAAUUAUUGGGCGUAAAGGGCGCGUAGGCGGUGCGGUAAGUCACCUGUGAAAACUCUGGGCUCAACUCAGAGCCUGCAGGCGAAACUGCCGUGCUUGAGUGUGGGAGAGGUGCGUGGAAUUCCCGGUGUAGCGGUGAAAUGCGUAGAUAUCGCUUGGAACGCCAAAGGUGAAAACAGACAGCUGGGAGUGUGCUGACGCUGAGACACGAAAGCCAGGGGAGCGAACGGG